UAGUCUUAGUAAGCCCCCCCCCCACCCCCACCCCUCCUCCUUCUCCACGACGCGCCUUCUCCUCAUCCUUCUAACACACACAAUUUUAGUGUUAAGCAACGUACAUGUUUAAGUGAGGUUAUGUUAACCUUCCGAUGGGCAUAGCAAAUUGGUGUACUUAAGCCGAUUUUCGACUGUGCAUGAAUACACAAACACACACACACACAGACACAUGCAGAGACUGUGUCUGUGCAUGUUUACAUAUGUAUGUAUAUGUUAUGUUCUAGCUGUAAAUGCAGAUUUUUAUGUAGUCGUUAAGCAUUGACUUUUUCGGGCAGAAAGUUACCGUUAAUUUAAGUCAGACAUGUGUAUUUUGUAAGCAGUAGGAGAAAGUGUAAGAGAAGUUCAAGAAAACAAAAGAGUAUAGUUAACAGUUACCAAGACCGUUAAAUCAGUUGUUAGCAAUUACAUAACAGUUACAUUUUAACAUAAAUAUGUCAAAUCACAGCAACAAUGCGAUCAAUCCGACAAAAAAAAAACAAAAACAAACAAACAAACAACCUCAACAACAACAACAAAAUACAUACAUACCUUAAUGAUUGUUCCGCCAAAUGUGCAAUCGCUCUCUUUAUUGCUCUCGCUCGCUCUUAUACUGGCACAGCGAAAUGUCCCGUUUGCGCAGCAGGAUUUAUUCGCUCGUUAUGUUGUCCACAAAAUACUGGUUGGCUUGCGUCUUAGCUGUUAAGCCGGUUCGUGUCCUUGCUGGCGCCGCUGCACACAUUUAGUACGCAAUUUUGUUGCGCUGCCAAUUCGCCGGGUUCGUGUCACAGUUGCCAUAAUUAGUAAGAAGUACAUAUAUUCUUGAUCAAGACGAACGGCUGAGUCGAUCCAGUUGACGUGAACACCACGAGCUCGGAGAACAGAAGUGACAUGUAUAUCAUUUUUAUCGAUAUCUUCGAUAACUAUCGAUCAAGUGUCGAGAAGCAUCAUCAAAUCUGAUAAGAAUAAUACUACACUUAUUGGAUACCAGCCCAUAAAUACUAUUGCUGCUCCAAUAAUGACUUUAAGCAACAAC